UCAGGAGUGAACGCUGGCGGCGUGCCUAACACAUGCAAGUCGAACGAAGCACACCCUCGGGGGUGUGACUGAGUGGCGGACGGGUGAGUAACGCGUGGGUAACCUGCCCUGUACAGGGGGAUAACAGCCAGAAAUGGCUGCUAAUACCGCAUAAGCGCACGAAGGGACAUCCCUUUGUGUGAAAAACUCCGGUGGUACAGGAUGGGCCCGCGUCUGAUUAGCUUGUUGGCGGGGUAAGAGCCCACCAAGGCGACGAUCAGUAGCCGGUCUGAGAGGAUGAACGGCCACAUUGGAACUGAGACACGGUCCAAACUCCUACGGGAGGCAGCAGUGAGGGAUAUUGCACAAUGGGGGGAACCCUGAUGCAGCCAACGCCGCGUGAGUGAAGAAGUAAUUCGUUAUGUAAAGCUCUAUCAGCAGGGAAGAUAAUGACGGUACCUGACUAAGAAGCUCCGGCUAAAUACGUGCCAGCCGCUGC
rnacentral:rRNA from 1 species